UUCUCUUUUAACCUUUGCAGGGUUCAUUGAGCAAUACCUACAGCCACCAUGAGAUUGUUCGUCAAGACGUGAAACAAGUUAUUUGUUCCGUUUGCGAUACAGAGCAGCCGGUUGCUCAUAUCUGCUCCAACUGUGGUGUAAACAUGGGGGAAUAUUUCUGCAAAACCUGCAAAUUCUACGAUGAUGAUGUAACUAUCGCCU